rnacentral:lncRNA from 1 species
UCAAUGAGUGACCAUUCAACUUCGCUUCUCUGCAUAAUUUUAAAACCCCAGGAAAGUUGUGCUUCAAGACAAGCUUUAAAUGCUUUCAUUUCGGAGAUUAAUCUUCUUGUUCCAGUCAAAAUAGUUCGUGACAGGACAUCAUGGGAGCAGGUACUUUAUGCGUCUCUUUCUUCAACAAUUAUCUUAUUUAUGAAAACACUUCAGUUAGACAAUUCAAUCUGAUUACUCUUAUUUAUGGAUAUAAAAUUUUCAUAAAAUGUUACAUAAACUAUACUCAUUUUUUUUAAAAUUGGUACUUAAAUAUUUCUUUUGUCACAAGUGGUACUUAUAGUAUAUUCCGUUAUUCAAAGUGGUACUUAAACGAUACCUUUUUUCUCAAGUAGUACCUAAAUUAUAUUUUGUUAUCUAAAUUACUUUAGUUGUUAAAAGAAUCUCUUAGCUAAUUAUUUUGUGAUAACUAAAAAAAACCAAAAAAAAAGUCGAAUAUUAGUUUCCUUUUUUUUUAAAUUUAGAAAAUGUUCAUCUAUUUGUUCGUCACCCAAGAACUUUGAUAACAGAAAAUUUGAGAAUCUGUUGAAAACCUCGUCUAAAUCCUGUUUUUGAUGACAAAACUCAGAUUCCAAUUACUUUCUUUUUCAUUUUUAAACCUAGAUUUCGAUUCUUUUCUCAUGCCAAUUCAAAAUCUAAGUAUUAUUUUUUUAAAAAUAAAUUUCAUCCUUUUUUAUUAAUAAAAAAUCAUAUAAAGCAUGAAAAUCAAUAACGUUUUCGAACUUUUUUUUUGUCACCUAACCAUUAAGUGGCCAACAAUGGCAUUUUUUUAGUUGGUAUAAUGACAAUUUUAGUCAUCAAAUUUUAUAUUUUAAGUCUAUUUGACUCUAAUUCUAUAUAAAUGAUAAAAAUAAAAAUUCUUUUUAAAAAAAUAAAAAAGUAUACAAAAUAUAAAAAUACAUAGAAAAUUUUAAAAAAUAAAAUGAAAAAAGAUUAAAUUUUCAAGAAUAGUUAAAGUGAAAAAUUAAGGAAAAUGAUGUAAAAAAAUAUUCAAAAUCGAUUUGGGUUUUGAAAAUUAAUUUAAAUGAUUUUAAAUUUUGAAAUGAGUUUGAAAAAGAAAAUGUUGUGUUUAUUUUGUAUUUUUAUUUGUCUAAAAAAUGGUAUCAGAGUUAGUUUCACAAGCCUUUGUAAUAUUAGUUUUGGAAGUUCUUUAAUAACAUGAAACUCGACUUGAAGAUAUUACUAGUUUGGUUUUGUUCUAUUUUUAAUUUGUUAUCAGAUUUUAUUUAAUGACCAUUUUCAUUCUUAUGUCUCCAUAUUGAACAAUCUUGAGCUUUGCUAUAAUAGAAUCUUGAGUUUUCUUGAAUGAUCAUUAGUUUUAUUAUUAUUGUUAUUAUAUUUAACCUUUAUACCAUAUGAAGAGAUUAAAAUUAAUUUAUUCUUUUUUUAUUAUCUAUUUUCAUGAUUUAUUGGUAAUCUUGAAGAAUUGUUUGCAAUAAUCAGAAAAUAACAUGAAUUUUUAUAUGAACUUUUCUAAUUUUUUUUAAAAAAAUACUUCUGAGUUUUUUUAAAUAACUUUUAUGUAGAAUUAGGGUUAAAUAAAUAAAAUGUAUAAAAGUUGAGUGCUAAAUUAUUACUAUAUCCUCUAAAAAGGUGCCAUUGUUAGCCACAUAACAAUUUGGUGACAAAAGAUAAUAAUUUCAAAUACAAUAGUGAUUAAAUUGUAACUUUUUUUAAUUAACUGAUCAAAACAAAAAUUUACCUAUAAUUGAGCGAUUACUAAUGUACUGUUACAAAAAUUGCCACCUUAAUUAUCGCUAAAAAACUAAUGUUUUAGCCUUCAUUUCCUUUAAAAAAAGAGAUUUAAAUUUUUUUAAGAUUAAUAAUAGUAUAAAUAAAAAAUAAAAAUAAAAAUCAAACUACUAAAAACUGAAUAGCUAUUUGUCAUUGUUUUGAAAGAACCCUAUUUGUCCAACCAUUCAUAAUGCAGACAAUAAAAGAAAAGUCCAGUUAUUUUCGAGAGUAGUAGCAUUCACAUCUACAAGUGCCUUAAUUAAGCAGUCGACGAAACAUUUUUGCUUUCCUUUCAGGUCAAGCACUCAGGAUUUUGACAAAAUUAAAAGAAAAAAAACUCUCAUUAUGAACAAAACCAGAUAUUGCAUAGUGCAUACAGAGUAAAAAUUCCAAAAAUAAUGAGCUUAGCAAAAAGGAUGCACAAUCAACUCCAUAUUUUCAGUAGUUCAUCUGUCGAUCUCAAUUUUAAUCCAGACUGCAAAAAACACAUCCUUGCCUAAUUAUUAAUUGCGGAACAACAUCAUUCUACAAAAAUAAUAUACAUUCAUCCAUUUAACUACCUUGUAUCAGUGCAUCUUCCUGAAAAAACAAAGAUACACCUAUUUACAUUCCAUGACUUAAACUUCUUUGAGAAUCAAAGUUUCUGAAAAAUAGAACAAUUGCAUGCUUACUCUCAAACUGUAUCUACUAUAUACAUAACUAUCACGAAGAGAGAGAGAGAGGGGGGGUGCAGAAAAAAAAGCCUGCACUACAAUCAAGCAGCCAAAAAUCUGCAACAACAACUAAAAAAAGACUAAUCAAUUGUGAAGUGGGUUUGGUCCUCCUGGAACUGUUCGAUAGGAAACUUCAUGAAUUGGUCGACUCUUUUCUGCUUUAAUUCCUCAGAAGACUUUGUAGGGAAGUGCCAUGCGAAGAAAUCUGUCUUGCUUGGUUGUUCAUCUUCAUUACUUAGGCUCCUAUGGAUGUAUCGGCAACUUGAGAAGGCGAUGG